rnacentral:rRNA from 1 species
UCGAACGGGAAACAUUUCAUUGAAGCUUCGGCAGAUUUGGUCUGUUUCUAGUGGCGGACGGGUGAGUAACGCGUGGGUAACCUGCCUUAUACUGGGGGAUAACAGCCAGAAAUGGCUGCUAAUACCGCGUAAGCGCACAGGACCGCAUGGUCCGGUGUGAAAAACUCCGGUGGUAUAAGAUGGACCCGCGUUGGAUUAGCUGGUUGGCAGGGCAGCGGCCUACCAAGGCGACGAUCCAUAGCCGGCCUGAGAGGGUGAACGGCCACAUUGGGACUGAGACACGGCCCAGACUCCUACGGGAGGCAGCAGUGGGGAAUAUUGCACAAUGGGGGAAACCCUGAUGCAGCGACGCCGCGUGAAGGAAGAAGUAUCUCGGUAUGUAAACUUCUAUCAGCAGGGAAGAUAAUGACGGUACCUGACUAAGAAGCCCCGGCUAACUACGUGCCAGCAGCCGCGGUAAUACGUAGGGGGCAAGCGUUAUCCGGAUUUACUGGGUGUAAAGGGAGCGUAGACGGCGCAGCAAGUCUGAUGUGAAAGGCAGGGGCUUAACCCCUGGACUGCAUUGGAAACUGUUGAGCUUGAGUGCCGGAGGGGUAAGCGGAAUUCCUAGUGUAGCGGUGAAAUGCGUAGAUAUUAGGAGGAACACCAGUGGCGAAGGCGGC